GGGUUGUGAGGUUAAGCGACUAAGCGUACACGGUGGAUGCCCUGGCAGUCAGAGGCGAUGAAGGGCGUGCUAAUCUGCGAUAAGCGCCGGUAAGGUGAUAUGAACCGUUAUAACCGGCGAUACCCGAAUGGGGAAACCCAGUGUGAUUCGUCACACUAUCAUUAACUGAAUCCAUAGGUUAAUGAGGCGAACCGGGGGAACUGAAACAUCUAAGUACCCCGAGGAAAAGAAAUCAACCGAGAUUCCCCCAGUAGCGGCGAGCGAACGGGGAGGAGCCCAGAGCCUGAAUCAGCAUGUGUGUUAGUGGAAGCGUCUGGAAAGGCGCGCGAUACAGGGUGACAGCCCCGUACACAAAAGCGCAUGUGCUGUGAGCUCGAUGAGUAGGGCGGGACACGUGGUAUCCUGUCUGAAUAUGGGGGGACCAUCCUCCAAGGCUAAAUACUCCUGACUGACCGAUAGUGAACCAGUACCGUGAGGGAAAGGCGAAAAGAACCCCGGCGAGGGGAGUGAAAAAGAACCUGAAACCGUGUACGUACAAGCAGUGGGAGCACAGGUUUACCUGUGUGACUGCGUACCUUUUGUAUAAUGGGUCAGCGACUUAUAUUCUGUAGCAAGGUUAACCGAAUAGGGGAGCCGGAGGGAAACCGAGUCUUAAUUGGGCGUUAAGUUGCAGGGUAUAGACCCGAAACCCGGUGAUCUAGCCAUGGGCAGGUUGAAGGUUGGGUAACACUAACUGGAGGACCGAACCGACUAAUGUUGAAAAAUUAGCGGAUGACCUGUGGCUGGGGGUGAAAGGCCAAUCAAACCGGGAGAUAGCUGGUUCUCCCCGAAAGCUAUUUAGGUAGCGCCUCGUGAAUUCAUCUCCGGGGGUAGAGCACUGUUUCGGCUAGGGGGCCAUCCCGGCUUACCAACCCGAUGCAAACUGCGAAUACCGGAGAAUGUUAUCACGGGAGACACACGGCGGGUGCUAACGUCCGUCGUGAAGAGGGAAACAACCCAGACCGCCAGCUAAGGUCCCAAAGUCAUGGUUAAGUGGGAAACGAUGUGGGAAGGCCCAGACAGCCAGGAUGUUGGCUUAGAAGCAGCCAUCAUUUAAAGAAAGCGUAAUAGCUCACUGGUCGAGUCGGCCUGCGCGGAAGAUGUAACGGGGCUAAACCAUGCACCGAAGCUGCGGCAGCGACACUGUGUGUUGUUGGGUAGGGGAGCGUUCUGUAAGCCUGUGAAGGUGUGUCGUGAGGCAUGCUGGAGGUAUCAGAAGUGCGAAUGCUGACAUAAGUAACGAUAAAGCGGGUGAAAAGCCCGCUCGCCGGAAGACCAAGGGUUCCUGUCCAACGUUAAUCGGGGCAGGGUGAGUCGACCCCUAAGGCGAGGCCGAAAGGCGUAGUCGAUGGGAAACGGGUUAAUAUUCCCGUACUUGGUGUUACUGCGAAGGGGGGACGGAGAAGGCUAUGUUGGCCGGGCGACGGUUGUCCCGGUUUAAGCGUGUAGGUGUGUGUUCCAGGUAAAUCCGGUUCACUUUAACACUGAGGCGUGACGACGAGGCACUACGGUGCUGAAGCAACAAAUGCCCUGCUUCCAGGAAAAGCCUCUAAGCAUCAGGUAACAUCAAAUCGUACCCCAAACCGACACAGGUGGUCAGGUAGAGAAUACCAAGGCGCUUGAGAGAACUCGGGUGAAGGAACUAGGCAAAAUGGUGCCGUAACUUCGGGAGAAGGCACGCUGAUAUGUAGGUGAAGCGGUUUACCCGUGGAGCUGAAAUCAGUCGAAGAUACCAGCUGGCUGCAACUGUUUAUUAAAAACACAGCACUGUGCAAACACGAAAGUGGACGUAUACGGUGUGACGCCUGCCCGGUGCCGGAAGGUUAAUUGAUGGGGUCAGCGCAAGCGAAGCUCCUGAUCGAAGCCCCGGUAAACGGCGGCCGUAACUAUAACGGUCCUAAGGUAGCGAAAUUCCUUGUCGGGUAAGUUCCGACCUGCACGAAUGGCGUAAUGAUGGCCAGGCUGUCUCCACCCGAGACUCAGUGAAAUUGAACUCGCUGUGAAGAUGCAGUGUACCCGCGGCAAGACGGAAAGACCCCGUGAACCUUUACUAUAGCUUGACACUGAACAUUGAGCCUUGAUGUGUAGGAUAGGUGGGAGGCUUUGAAGUGUGGACGCCAGUCUGCAUGGAGCCGACCUUGAAAUACCACCCUUUAAUGUUUGAUGUUCUAACGUGGACCCGUUACCCGGGUUGCGGACAGUGUCUGGUGGGUAGUUUGACUGGGGCGGUCUCCUCCUAAAGAGUAACGGAGGAGCACGAAGGUUGGCUAAUCCUGGUCGGACAUCAGGAGGUUAGUGCAAUGGCAUAAGCCAGCUUGACUGCGAGCGUGACGGCGCGAGCAGGUGCGAAAGCAGGUCAUAGUGAUCCGGUGGUUCUGAAUGGAAGGGCCAUCGCUCAACGGAUAAAAGGUACUCCGGGGAUAACAGGCUGAUACCGCCCAAGAGUUCAUAUCGACGGCGGUGUUUGGCACCUCGAUGUCGGCUCAUCACAUCCUGGGGCUGAAGUAGGUCCCAAGGGUAUGGCUGUUCGCCAUUUAAAGUGGUACGCGAGCUGGGUUUAGAACGUCGUGAGACAGUUCGGUCCCUAUCUGCCGUGGGCGCUGGAGAACUGAGGGGGGCUGCUCCUAGUACGAGAGGACCGGAGUGGACGCAUCACUGGUGUUCGGGUUGUCAUGCCAAUGGCACUGCCCGGUAGCUAAAUGCGGAAGAGAUAAGUGCUGAAAGCAUCUAAGCACGAAACUUGCCCCGAGAUGAGUUCUCCCUGAGACUUAAAGUCUCCUGAAGGAACGUUGAAGACGACGACGUUGAUAGGCCGGGUGUGUAAGCGCAGCGAUGCGUUGAGCUAACCGGUACUAAUGAACCGUGAGGCUUAACCUUACAACGCCGAAG
rnacentral:rRNA from 1 species